AUGUUGCACUCAGCCGCACAACCUCACUUAAAGGACUGUACAUCACAGACUUUGAUGAAAGGAAAAUCUAUGCUGAUCCUGCCAUCACAGAUGCACUCAAAAAUAUGAGACAUGCAUCAUUUGAGAAUGCAAGACCACUGUUGCAAUUCUUAAAAUCAGUUGUUCCCACAGUCCCCACGUUGACAAUUAUCCAUCACAAUGCACAAGGUCUCCCAACUCACAUGGAGGACAUGAGAUGCCACCAUGAACUCAGCCUUGCUGAUGUUUUAUGCAUAACAGAAACUCACUUGUCUGGAUCAUCAGUUUCUCCCGCUUCCAGCUGGAACAGUACAACAUGGCCACACGCAACAGACACGUCUCUUACACAAACCAUACAGACAUGGCAAAGGUAAAUGGCGGUGGAGUUGCAAUGUACUACAAAACAGUUCUUAUAGCAGAGUCUCGAAAAUACCUGCAAAAUGUGACUGACCUUGAAUUUGUUGUUAUCAAGGUUGAAUCGCCAGUCACAGCUUUGAUAGCAACUGUAUACAGGCCACCAAAUUACAGCCACGUGAGGUUUUUACCACAAAUGCAAUGUCUUUUGGACUCAUUGGAAAUGAUGAAUUGCCAACCAAUUAUUGUUUGUGGAGAUUUCAAUGAGGACCUUAUGAGCAGAGGAAAAAAACCCAUCCAAGAACUGUUUCAGUCAAGAGGAUAUGCACAACUUAUUACUGCUGCAACUACCGAAAAACACACAUUGAUUGAUCACCUUUACAUAUCACAGCCAUACGCCUGCCUCCAAUCAGGUGUUCUGAAUACAUAUCACAGUUAUCACAACCCCAUUUAUUGUGUAAUUCACUAACACAAAAUGACUGCAAGGUUGUGAGGGAUAUGGACUUGCCAAGUGAUCUUAGUGUCUUUGCAACUGAGCACACUCUACCACCAACAAGGACAGCUCACCAGUGGGAGCUGAUACAUAAGACUGCUCUCAUCCAUUGAAGAGCUGACCAGAAACGUGAACAGAGAGACUGCAACUGCACCUGAUGGGAUCCCUGCCAUAACAGAUGUGUUCUGUCCAGUGAAGGCAGUGGAGAAGCCCUACACUGAUCUUGAAACUGUGCCACGCUAGUAGAGACCGGCUACAAGGAUGGGCAGCUGUUUUCGCAAAGUCAG